AUGGAUUCAGCCUCCAGAGUUGCCCCGCCGCCGGUCAGCGCUGGUGUCCGCGUCCGCGCGCCGCUGGUAGAGUCCGUCUCCUGUUACUGCAGAUUAGAUACGGGCCUUAAAACUGUCGUGGAUGCUAGAAAAUUUGCUUCUGGAGCAAAGAUGUGCAUGCAACCUGAUGCCAAACUAACCAAGCGCAAGUCAAGGGGCUCGCGGAAGGAGAGGUGCCGAGCUCAAGCACCACUUUUGCCUGGCCUUCCUGAUGAUCUUGCAAUUGCCUGUCUUAUACGGGUUCCACGAGUGGAACACCCCAAUCUCCGGACAGUUUGUAAAAGAUGGAACCGCCUUUUGUCAGGAAAUUACUAUUAUUCCUUGCGCAAGAAACUCAGCAUGGCAGAAGAAUGGGUUUAUGUCUUUAAAAGGGAUCGUGAGGGGAAAAUAUCCUGGCAUGCCUUCGAUCCACUGAACCAGCUCUGGAAGUCCCUUCCACCUGUUCCACCGGAGUAUUCAGAAGCGUUGGGUUUUGGCUGUGCUGUUCUGAGUGGUUGCUAUCUGUACUUAUUUGGCGGUAAGGAUCCUUUGAGGGGCUCUAUGAGACGUGUUGUAUUUUACAAUGCCCGGACCAACAAAUGGCAUCGAGCUCCAGAUAUGUUACGAAAGCGACACUUUUUUGGUUCCUGUGUAAUAAACAAUUGUCUAUAUGUUGCUGGUGGAGAAUGUGAAGGCAUACAAAGGACUCUUCAGUCUGCUGAAGUUUAUGACCCUAAUAGGAACAGAUGGGUCUGCAUCCCUGAGAUGAACAACGGGAUGGUGCCUUUCAUCGGAGUUGUAUAUGAUGACAAGUGGUUCCUAAAAGGGCUUGACUCCCAUCGCCAAGUGACAUGUGAAGUGUACCUACCGUCAUCCAAUUUGUGGUCAACCAUUGAUGAUGAAAUGGUUACAGGUUGGCGAAACCCAAGCAUUUCCUUCAAUGGACGUCUCUAUUCAUCUGAUUGCCGGGAUGGCUGCAAGCUUAGAGUCUAUGAUGCAAACACAGGAACAUGGGCACGAUUCAUAGACAGCAAGCACCAUCUAGGCAGCUCACGAGCCUUUGAAGCCGCAGGCUUGGUGUCUUUAAAUGGUAAGCUUUGCAUUAUUCGCAACAACAUGAGCAUCACUCUUGUUGAUAUCUUGCAUCCAACAAUGAGUAUCGAGACCGACAGUGCAUGCAUGUGGGAAACUGUUGCUCGUAAGGGUCAGCACAAGUCAUUUGUGGCAAACCUGUGGUCGACCAUUGCAGGACGUAACCUGAAGAGUCACAUAAUCCAUUGUCAGGUGCUGCAAAUUUGA
rnacentral:rRNA from 1 species